rnacentral:rRNA from 1 species
GUAAACGGCGGCCGUAACUAUAACGGUCCUAAGGUAGCGAAAUUCCUUGUCGGGUAAGUUCCGACCUGCACGAAUGGCAUAAUGAUGGCCACACUGUCUCCUCCCGAGACUCAGUGAAGUUGAAAUGUUUGUGAUGAUGCAAUCUCCCCGCGGCUAGACGGAAAGACCCCAUGAACCUUUACUGUAGCUUUGCAUUGGACUUUGAACCGAUUUGUGUAGGAUAGGCGGGAGGCAGAGAAAGCGCAACGCCAGUUGUGCCGGAGCCGACGUUGAAAUACCGCCCUGAUUUGUUUGAGGUUCUAACCGCGACCCGUGAGCCGGGUUCGGGACCGUGCAUGGCAGGCAGUUUGACUGGGGCGGUCUCCUCCUAAAGGGUAACGGAGGAGUACAAAGGUACGCUAGGUACGGUCGGAAAUCGUGCUGAUAGUGCAAAGGCAAAAGCGUGCUUGACUGCGAGACCGACAAGUCGAGCAGAUGCGAAAGCAGGUCUUAGUGAUCCGGUGGCUCUGAAUGGAAGGGCCAUCGCUCAACGGAUAAAAGGUACUCUGGGGAUAACAGGCUGAUACCGCCCAAGAGUUCAUAUCGACGGCGGUGUUUGGCACCUCGAUGUCGGCUCAUCUCAUCCUGGGGCUGUAGCCGGUCCCAAGGGUAUGGCUGUUCGCCAUUUAAAGAGGUACGUGAGCUGGGUUUAAAACGUCGUGAGACAGUUUGGUCCCUAUCUGCCGUGGGCGCUGGAAGAUUGACGGGGGCUGCUCCUAGUACGAGAGGACCGGAGUGGACGCACCUCUGGUGUACCGGUUGUCACGCCAGUGGCAUCGCCGGGUAGCUAUGUGCGGAAGAGAUAACCGCUGAAAGCAUCUAAGCGGGAAACUUGCCUGAAGAUAAGUCUUCCCGGAGGCUAGACCUCCCUGAAGAGUCGUUCGAGACCAGGACGUUGAUAGGUCGGGUGUGUAAGCGUUGUGAGACGUUUAGCUAACCGAUACUAAUUGCUCGUGAGGCUUGAUCCU